rnacentral:rRNA from 1 species
GACAGAGGGUGCAAACGUUGCUCGGAAUUACUGGGCGUAAAGCGCGUGUAGGCGGGCCGGAAAGUCGGGCGUGAAAUCCCUGGGCUCAACCCAGGAACUGCACUCGAAACUUCCGGUCUAGAGUGGUGGAGAGGGAAGUGGAAUUCCUGGUGUAGAGGUGAAAUUCGUAGAUAUCAGGAGGAACACCAGUGGCGAAGGCGGCUUCCUGGACACCAACUGACGCUGAGACGCGAAAGCGUGGGGAGCGAACAGG